GGUUGUUGUUGCGUCGUUUUUAAG
rnacentral:miRNA from 1 species